GGGGAUACAGCUCAGUUGGUAGAGCACUUGCCUUGCAUGCAUGAUGCCCUGGGUUCAAUCCCCAGCACCA
rnacentral:tRNA from 1 species